GCGUUGGUGGUUUAGUGGUAAAAUUCAUCGUUGCCAUGAUAGUUGCAGACAUCACUUGAGUAUCUCAUCCCACGAGUACUCCAGGGAGCUCAACACCAUGAUUCGAUGAGCCCCGGGUUCGAUUCCCGGCCGACGCA
rnacentral:tRNA from 1 species